rnacentral:rRNA from 1 species
AAAGCCUGAUCUCAUCUGAUCUCAGAAGCAAAG